UCACCUCUGAGUUGGGUAAGGCGUUAUCCAACCCUUGCCCCAGUAACCAUUCAUGGAAGAGGGGGGUGAGUUGGGAGAGUAAGGUUCGUGUAUUUCUUCUCUGGCUGCGUGGGAUGGGUCCCGGGGAAUGAAGCGUCCCUCGGAAUGUGUCUCUGCUGUAAACUGAACUACUCACACUGCAUUUCCAAUGGCCAAUGCGGCAUGGGUCUCGUUAGAGAAGGAGCGCGCUAAAAUUCCCUUGUUCAAAUCAAUAUCGGGUUGAUCUGGUACUCUUUGUGUGCCCGCUUGAAUGUGACAGACAGGUCCCCCGCCUCCUUCUGCCAUGUCAGUACCAUUGUCAUUUGGUGUGGGCCUAUGCGAAACCCCGUGGGUCGUUGCUACUUGCUCGGAUGGCCCGUUGGCUGACUAGUUCUUGCUAGUGCCCUCCGCUACCUCCCUCUCUGUAAAUUGUCUCGUCUCCGUCGGCAAAAUCGCUUGAUUUAUGGUGGUGUGGUCCAGUGUCUGUGCUACUGCUGCCCGCAUGUUAUCAGUCCUCCCUUGGGAACUCUGUACUUGGUCCUGCCUGCUGCCAUUAGCUCCUUGUGGGGUUGCAUCUUAUUUGUGUGCUAUAACCAGUGGACUCUCCUUAUGCGCAUGUUGUGUGUUAUCAAUAGGUUGGAUUGAGUUCGUACAUGAAGUUGUGAGCUGCGCACCAUUCCUCUCGUGUCACUCAUUCCGCGCCUUCGAGGAAUUCGUUAAUCUUUGAGAAUUCACUCGUGUUUGGUGAGGAAUCCCAAUCUCGCAAAUUGCGCCCGUGUACGACAUUGUGUCCGUUACAUGCUGCUGUGUCGACCCAAGAAGGGUGCCGGUUCGGAGCGAGGUCGUGAAUCGGUGUGUAUGUUUCCUCGCCCUGGACUGGAUGAAUUACCUGAGCUUGUAAAGGAUCAUAUGGUGCGUACUACCGAGAGUUGUUGCGGUCCUCUAUUCACUACGACUAUUGGUGCAGGAUCUCUCUGUUGGUCCUUGCUUCUGUCGCCGCUCGCGGUUGUAUUGGUCGGGGGUUGAGUCUGAUUAGGUUCUUGCGAUGCACCUCCUUCUGCUCUUGAUGACGAUCCUGAUCUCCUAGGUCCUUAUAAAGCAACAAAUUCCUUCACAAGAUGGACAGUAAACAGACAGUAGCGGCAUCAAAUCGGUAAAUUAUUGUAGUCUAUUUUGAUUAAUGUUGUCUCACCCGUAACUGGGUUAACUGGGUUCACUGCUCCUAAUGUUAAAUCAGAAGGUACCCCCAUUUUGAACGUAACACAGAAUUUCUGGUCGGAGUUGUGCUGGUUACCUCUAUGCUUACCCACCACUGUGCCCAAGCUUUGUGCUAGUUCUUGGGCACUGCUCCGAUAUUUGUCAGGCACGCUUUUGAGUGUAAUCCAUACCGGCAUCUUCAUCCCAACUGGCUGUGCAGGAUUGAAGCCUGGGAUCUAUGGCUGGAAUAUGCAUGUGCCCUAUCGAGAACUGUAAGGCGUAUGCAUCAGCAGCUUCUGCGUGGCAGCCUCAUCCUUCCCGAUCACUUGGAAAAAUCCAUGCUCUAAUUCUCUUCCGAUUCUGAACUCCUCCGAGAGGUCUUUUGUAAUACUGCUCAUCCAUUCUUGUGUGGAUUUGGGUAGCUGCUUGCCCCCCACAAAGUAGGCAAUAACAACUCGUUUUUUAUAGUACUCCAUUUCCUGUUGAACCUUAGACGCAUUGAGAGUCACUUGAACAACUCUCUUGUCCAAUAGAAAUCCUUUACUACUCCGGAAAAGGUCCUCAAUUAGAGUCUCACCCGGGACGACACGCGUCGGGUGAAUGGUCGCAUGUCGCUCCAUUUGUGUGGCUGCGGCAACAAGCUCGGGUUCUAGUCGUUCCUCCCUCUAAGCUUGUUCCGUCUUUCGACGUUCCUUCGAGGCGAUGGGUGAGACCGGGGCGUGCGUCAGCCGACUCUUCAACACCGCAGCGUAGGACAUUGCUUUUGACAUUGUAUUUGCUCCUACUGAUCUGUCAUCGCUUUGCGUCUCUUGGUUCUGUGCCUGCAUCUAUAUCUCCUUUUGCAGACCUCCCACUUAACAUAAGUUUUAAAUCCUAUCCCUUACUUGCUCCACUCUAUGAUGGUGCCUUGCUUUGCGAAUCGCGAAUUGUAAGUACAUUACAUUUGUACAAGCUAAUGCAG
rnacentral:lncRNA from 1 species